ACCUCGAAUCAGGUAGGAAUACCCGCUGAACUUAAGCAUAUCAAUAAGCGGAGGAAAAGAAACCAACAGGGAUUGCCCCAGUAACGGCGAGUGAAGCGGCAACAGCUCAAAUUUGAAAUCUGGCUCUCGGGCCCGAGUUGUAAUUUGUAGAGGAUGCUUUUGGUGAGGUGCCUUCCGAGUUCCCUGGAACGGGACGCCAUAGAGGGUGAGAGCCCCGUCUGGUUGGACGCCGAACCUCUGUAAAGCUCCUUCGACGAGUCGAGUAGUUUGGGAAUGCUGCUCUAAAUGGGAGGUAUAUGUCUUCUAAAGCUAAAUACCGGCCAGAGACCGAUAGCGCACAAGUAGAGUGAUCGAAAGAUGAAAAGAACUUUGAAAAGAGAGUUAAACAGUACGUGAAAUUGUUGAAAGGGAAGCGCUUGUGACCAGACUUGGGCUUGGUUGAUCAUCCGGGGUUCUCCCCGGUGCACUCUUCCGGCCCAGGCCAGCAUCAGUUCGCCCUGGGGGACAAAGGCAUCGGGAACGUGGCUCUCUCCGGGGAGUGUUAUAGCCCGUUGCGUAAUACCCUGCGGCGGACNGA
rnacentral:rRNA from 1 species